rnacentral:lncRNA from 1 species
UUUCUUUUUUUUCCUUCUUUUCUUCUCCUUUCUUUCUCUUUUCUUUUUCUUCUCCUUCCCGAAGCUUCUCCCGACGGCUCUCCCGAACCCUCUUUCCACUCUAACCUCCUCCCCUUCCGAUCUCAAGGAAGAAGAGGCGGCGGCUUGGGAGAGGCCGAGCUUGGGGUCAUGCCAUGGCCGGCGGUGCCCUCGGCCGUCACCCGCGGCCGAAGCCCGCGGCGCCCUCGGCCGCGCUCGCGGCCGACGCUCGACGUCCGCAUCCUCGGCCGGCCUGCGGCCGAGGCUCGUGCCGGCGGCCCUCGCGGCCGAAGCCGGUGGCCACCGCACGCUACGUCGAAUCGGUGAGUCCCCGUUCCCUCUUCUUCCCAGAGCUUCCUCUCCUCCUCUCUUUCCUUCCUUCUCUCCCGAUCCCUCUUUUCUUUCCCCCUUUCUUCUCCUGCGAGGGGAGGCAGUGAGUUCGGGAGAGGUCGGCCACAGCCGGCGGUGCCCUCGGCCGGCCUGCAGCCGACGCCCGUGCCGGCGGCAUCCUCGGCUGGCCCGCGGCCGACGCCCGUGUCAGCGCCGUUCGCAGCCGAAGCCGGCCGCCGCCGCACGCGACGUCUCCCCGGUGAGUCCCCUCUUCCUCUUUUCUUAUUUUUCUUCUUCUUUGCUUCUUUGUUUCUUUCUUUCUUUCUUUUCUUUGUUAUCCUGAGCAGAUUGGGAGGAAAAGCAAGGCUAUGAACAUCAGGAAGGAAGGGACGGAGAAAUGGAUGGAUGUUACCUCACUGACCCAAGCAGCGGGUGUCGGUGAUGGAGUAAGGUGAAGAGAGGCUCUGGCGACCAGCCGGAGGUCAGCUGCUAUGGCGGGGAUGUCGGCGUAGAUGUCCAGCCGACGGGGUGCUGAGAUCUGGCAGUGUCCGAAUUUGGGAGGGAGCGUACCAGGAGGAAGGAAGGCGUUUGGGGGGUUCUAAGCGACGUGUCGAGAGGUUUUUAAGCGAUUGUCACUGUAUUAACACCUGGCAGCAACACCUCCCUUCUAUUGACAUCUGCCCCUCCCCUUAAGGACGAGGUGGCGGACUCCAAAUGGC